GAGGGUAUAGCUCAGUGGUAGAACAUACAGUUAACAUGUACAAGGUCCUGGGUUCAAUCCCCAGUACCUCCA
rnacentral:tRNA from 1 species